CGCAUACGACCUACGGGUGAAAGUGGGGGACCGCAAGGCCUCACGCGAUUAGAUGAGCCGAUGUCCGAUUAGCUAGUUGGCGGGGUAAUGGCCCACCAAGGCGACGAUCGGUAGCUGGUCUGAGAGGAUGAUCAGCCACACUGGAACUGAGACACGGUCCAGACUCCUACGGGAGGCAGCAGUGGGGAAUAUUGGACAAUGGGCGCAAGCCUGAUCCAGCCAUACCGCGUGGGUGAAGAAGGCCUUCGGGUUGUAAAGCCCUUUUGUUGGGAAAGAAAUCCUAUCGGUUAAUAACCGGUGGGGAUGACGGUACCCAAAGAAUAAGCACCGGCUAACUUCGUGCCAGCAGCCGCGGUAAUACGAAGGGUGCAAGCGUUACUCGGAAUUACUGGGCGUAAAGCGUGCGUAGGUGGUGGUUUAAGUCUGCUGUGAAAGCCCUGGGCUCAACCUGGGAAUUGCAGUGGAUACUGGAUCACUAGAGUGUGGUAGAGGGAUGCGGAAUUUCUGGUGUAGCAGUGAAAUGCGUAGAGAUCAGAAGGAACAUCC
rnacentral:rRNA from 1 species